CGCUGCUGCCGUUGCUGUCGCUGCUGCUGCUGGUGCUGCUGCGAAUGCCAGCGGCAUGCACGUCGGUCAUUUUUGUAUUUGGAAGCACAAUUACUUUCCGUCAUUUGUAUUUGGAACGCCGCAGCAGAAAGAAGGUCGUCAAAAAGCAUUAUUGGCACAACAUUUUCGGCAAAAGGCAAAAAAAAAAAAACACCAACAAAAAUCAAAUCAAACGCAAAGAAAAGUUAAAAUUAUGCAUUAACGUCGUCCGUCGCCGCCGUUGUUCAUUGUUUUUUUUCCCUCUGUUGUGUUUGUUCGUAAAUAGUUUUAUUUUCAGUUGUUCGAGAAACCGCAAAGUGAUCUUGAUCUGCUGUUGCUUCUUCUCCUUCUUCGCUCGCUCGUUCGUUCGUUCGUUCCAAAACAUUUUCACCAAUUUGGCCAAAUUGAUACAAAUACCAUUUCUUUUCGUAUUGGAGACCACUGCAACAAAUUUUAUUUCGAAAUUCAUUGAAAAGACAUCAGAAAGAGCAAAAAAAAAAAAAAAAACGCGCGCAUAAAAAGCUUAAAAUAAAAUAUAUAAUUACAACUAAUAAAACUCAAACAAUGCAAGAACAGCAACAAUAAUUAAUGGACAAACAACCAGCUGUAAACGACAAUUUCUCGAUAAAAAACAAAACCGCAAAAUUCGUUUCGGUAUCAACCUUAAAGCAAAACAAUAAUCAAUGAGCCAAAAACACGAGUCAUAGUAAAAAAAAAAAAAGUUAAGCAUCAAAAUUCAAAUAAAGAAACGUCCUUUUUGAAGCAUUCCACGCCCGAACACAACAACAAAAAAAUAAAUAAA